rnacentral:rRNA from 1 species
GUAGGUGGCAAGCGUUGUCCGGAAUUAUUGGGCGUAAAGCGCGCGCAGGCGGUUCUUUAAGUCUGAUGUGAAAGCCCACGGCUCAACCGUGGAGGGUCAUUGGAAACUGGAGAACUUGAGUACAGAAGAGGAAAGCGGAAUUCCACGUGUAGCGGUGAAAUGCGUAGAGAUGUGGAGGAACACCAGUGGCGAAGGCGGCUUUCUGGUCUGUAACUGACGCUGAGGCGCGAAAGCGUGGGGGAGCAAACAGGAUUAGAUACCCGAGGUAGUCCACGCCGUAAACGAUGAGUGCUAAGUGUUAGGGGGGUUUCCGCCCCCGUUAGUGCUGCAGCUAACGCAUUAAGCACUCCCGGCCUGGGAGUACGGCCGCUAGGCUG